GGGGGAACAACACCAAGGCUAAUAAAAUCACACACAGAGAGAAAAAGAUAGAAUAAAAAAUGGAUAAGAUAGAGCACAAGAUGGUAGCUGUAAAUGGCUUAAAUAUGCACAUAGCAGAAUUAGGCCAAGGCCCAACAAUCCUCUUCAUCCAUGGAUUCCCUGAGCUCUGGUACUCAUGGCGCCACCAAAUGGUCUACUUAGCUGAACGUGGGUACCGUGCUGUUGCACCUGACUUACGGGGUUAUGGAGAUACUACUGGUGCACCCCUUAACGACCCUUCAAAGUUCAGUAUUUUUCACCUUGUAGGUGAUGUUGUUGCACUGCUUGAAGCCAUUUCUCCUAAUGAAGAAAAGGUGUUUGUCGUUGCACACGACUGGGGUGCGUUAAUUGCUUGGCAUCUAUGUCUCUUUAGGCCAGAUAAAGUUAAAGCCUUGGUGAAUUCGAGUGUCCAUUUUUUCCCGCGGAAUCCAAAUAUGAAUACUGUUGAGGGGCUAAAGGCUGUAUAUGGGGAAGAUCAUUAUAUCUCGAGAUUUCAGGUACCGGGUGAUAUUGAAGCUGAAUUUGCUCCAAUUGGUGCUAAGUCUGUUCUUAAGAAAAUAUUGACAUACCGCGAUCCUGCACCUUUUUAUUUUCCUAAAGGCAAAGGUCUUGAAGCUCUUCCUGAUGCUCCGGUUGCCCUUUCAUCGUGGCUUUCUGAGGAAGAGUUAGAUUACUAUGCAAACAAGUUUGAGAAGACUGGUUUCACUGGUGGAGUUAACUAUUACCGCGCUUUACCCAUAAACUGGGAACUCACAGCACCAUGGACAGGGGCUCAACUUAAAGUUCCGACCAAGUUUAUCGUCGGGGAAUUCGACUUGGUUUAUCAUAUACCAGGUGCUAAAGAGUACAUACACAAUGGUGGAUUUAAGAAUGAUGUUCCAUUGUUGGAGGAAGUUGUGGUUUUAGAAGGUGCAGCUCACUUUGUCAAUCAAGAAAGGCCACAUGAGAUUAGCAAACACAUCUAUGACUUCAUUCAAAACUUCUAAACUUUCUCUAUCGUACGCUGUAUUUUGUGUAAGCAGUGUUCGUUAAAAUAAGUUCGAAUUUGGAACAUUAUAAUAAUAUUUAAGUAAAUGUAUGUGAUAAUAACUACAUUCACAGUUGGUGAAUAUUUUAUUACUUGCACAAAAUUUCAAUAAAAC
rnacentral:misc_RNA from 1 species